rnacentral:rRNA from 1 species
AAACUUUUAAUAGUCAAAACUUUCAACAACGGAUCUCUUGGUUCUGGCAUCGAUGAAGAACGCAGCGAAAUGCGAUAAGUAAUGUGAAUUGCAGAAUUCAGUGAAUCAUCGAAUCUUUGAACGCACAUUGCGCCCAUUAGUAUUCUAGUGGGCAUGCCUGUUCGAGCGUCAUUU